UACAGAGGUCCCAAGCGUUGUUCGGAUUCACUGGGCGUAAAGGAUGCGUAGGCGGUCGGGUAAGUCUGACGUGAAAUCUUCAAGCUCAACUUGGAAACUGCGUCCGAUACUAUUCGGCUAGAGGAAUGGAGGGGAGACUGGAAUACUUGGUGUAGCAGUGAAAUGCGUAGAUAUCAAGUGGAACACCAGUGGCGAAGGCGGCCUUCUGGACGGUGACUGACGCUGAGACGCGAAAGCGUGGGGAGCAAACAGG
rnacentral:rRNA from 1 species